rnacentral:lncRNA from 1 species
AACCUGACCACGUUUACCACUGUUGCAGAUGGAAGCAAACAAAUGGAUUUGAAACAAGUUGAGUCGUCUGCAAGAUCUGAGGCUGCAUUGGAUCUAGUCCAGGAGUUUGUAGGUUGGGGGAAGUCCUCGUGAAAAUGAAAGCAAGAAGUUUGAUAUCCUUGACGCAAUGCAGUGGCAUACUCACAGGUUCGGGGAUUAGGACAUAAACGUCAUUCAGCCUACUGUACCGGGAGGCGUCACAUUUCCUCAAACCUGGCUCUGAUCCUGGUCUUCAGUCGCCACAGCAGGUUUAAGCUGGGCCGGGGCUCCCAGGGGUCUGAUCUUCUGCAACGCCCCACAGUCAGGCACCUUCUGCUAGAUCCUUCUUCCGCCGCACGACCUGCUCCUGCUCUAAUUUACUGCGCAGCCUGGACAGAGUUGAGCAACUGUGGACAAGAACUCUCAAGUCCCUGCAGAGAACCCAGAAAAUCAUUUCAACCCCAAGGUAGUGGAAAUGGCGACCAAGCGUGAAUUAUGAUAUAAUCAAAAUGUACUUUUGGGGCCAGCCCAGUGGUGCAGUGGUGAAGUGCGCACAUUCCGCGUCUUGGCGGACCAGGGGUUCCCGCCCAGAUCCCAGGUGUGGACAUGGCACCAC